rnacentral:rRNA from 1 species
GACGAACGCUGGCGGCGUGCCUAAUACAUGCAAGUCGAACGGUUCUUUCUUUUGGAAGCUUGCUUCCGAUCGAGAGAAUAGUGGCGAACGGGUGAGUAACACGUGGGUAACCUGCCCAUAAGAGGGGGAUAACAUCCGGAAACGGGUGCUAAUACCGCAUAGUUUUUUUGAUCGCAUGAUCGAGAAAGGAAAGACGGCCUUUGUGCUGUCGCUUAUGGAUGGACCCGCGGCGUAUUAGUUAGUUGGUGAGGUAAUGGCUCACCAAGACGAUGAUACGUAGCCGACCUGAGAGGGUGAUCGGCCACAUUGGGACUGAGACACGGCCCAAACUCCUACGGGAGGCAGCAGUAGGGAAUCUUCCGCAAUGGACGAAAGUCUGACGGAGCAACGCCGCGUGAGUGAAGAAGGUUUUCGGAUCGUAAAACUCUGUUGUCAGAGAAGAACAAGUCGGAGAGUAACUGCUCCGGCCUUGACGGUAUCUGACCAGAAAGCCACGGCUAACUACGUGCCAGCAGCCGCGGUAAUACGUAGGUGGCAAGCGUUGUCCGGAUUUAUUGGGCGUAAAGCGAGCGCAGGCGGUUCCUUAAGUCUGAUGUGAAAGCCCACGGCUCAACCGUGGAAGGUCAUUGGAAACUGGGGAACUUGAGUGCAGAAGAGGAGAGUGGAAUUCCAUGUGUAGCGGUGAAAUGCGUAGAUAUAUGGAGGAACACCAGUGGCGAAGGCGACUCUCUGGUCUGUAACAGACGCUGAGGCUCGAAAGCGUGGGGAGCAAACAGGAUUAGAUACCCUGGUAGUCCACGCUGUAAACGAUGAGUGCUAAGUGUUGGAGGGUUUCCACCCUUCAGUGCUGUAGCUAACGCAUUAAGCACUCCGCCUGGGGAGUACGGCCGCAAGGCUGAGACUCAAAGGAAUUGANGGGGACCCGCACAAGCGGNGG